UACGGGGGGUGCAAGCGUUGUUCGGAAUUACUGGGCGUAAAGGGCUCGUAGGUGGCCAACUAAGUCAUACGUGAAAUCCCUCGGCUUAACCGGGGAACUGCGUCUGAUACUGGAUGGCUUGAGGUUGGGAGAGGGAUGCGGAAUUCCAGGUGUAGCGGUGAAAUGCGUAGAUAUCUGGAGGAACACCGGUGGCGAAGGCGGCAUCCUGGACCAAUUCUGACACUGAGGAGCGAAAGCCAGGGGAGCAAACGGG
rnacentral:rRNA from 1 species